rnacentral:tRNA from 2 species
GCUCCCGUAGCUCAGAUGGAUAGAGCAGUGGCUUCCUAAGCCAUUGGUCAGAGGUUCGAAUCCUCUCGGGAGUG